AAAGUCGUAACAAGGUUUCCGUAGGUGAACCUGCGGAAGGAUCAUUAAAUAAUUUUGAUUGAUUAGGGGUUCUCCCCUAAUUCAAUUAUAUAUUUACUGUGAAAUGUAUUAUUUUACUUGACGCUUGAGGAAUGCCCAGUCUUGCUGUAUGGAUAAGCGAGUUGCUGGGAUGUUAACCGAGUCGAGGACCAGGCUUAGGCCUGAUAUCCUAUUAAUUAUUUACCAAAAGAAUUCUGAAUAAAAUAUUGUAACAUAGACCUUAAAAAUCUAUAAAACAACUUUUAACAACGGAUCUCUUGGUUCUC
rnacentral:misc_RNA from 1 species